rnacentral:tRNA from 1 species
GGCUCUGUGGUGAAAUUCAUGUUGAGUUGCAAACUCAUUGAUGUACAUUAGAAGUGUGCCGGAGCCU